UACGAAGGGGGCAAGCGUUGUUCGGAAUUACUGGGCGUAAAGGGCGCGCAGGCGGCUCAUCAAGUCAGAUGUGAAAGCCCCGGGCUCAACCUGGGAACUGCAUUUGGGACUGAUGAGCUAGAGUUCGGGAGAGGUGGGUGGAAUUCCCAGUGUAGAGGUGAAAUUCGUAGAUAUUGGGAAGAACACCGGUGGCGAAGGCGGCUCACUGGACCGAGACUGACGCUGAGGCGCGAAAGCUAGGGGAGCAAACAGG
rnacentral:rRNA from 1 species